CAUAUCAUUUCCCUUGUGUUAAUAAGCGUAACAAAAAUGGGAACCUGUAAUAAAUAUAAUAUUUAUUUUGAUUAUAAAUCUUUUGAUAUAAAAAAUACAUUUGUGUACGUGUUACACGAGGCAUUAAAAGGUUAAUUAUUAUGCAAUUCCUUAAUCCAUCGAACCCAACUAAUCAUUCACCUAAGACCUAAAUAUCCCAAAAAAUUCGUGACAAAAAGGAGAGCUAGUGAGCGAGCAAUGAAAAGAAUGCCAAGUACCACAGUGGCAUCAGGAUAGCAGAAAAAUAAAUCUGGCUUCCCUCGGGAUAAAGCGUUGCUUUGAAAGUUCCGCGGUCGAACGACAUGCGCACUCCAUGUCGGCCAUUGAUUUUCAUUGUCAGGUGGGCUAUUAUCGGUUCAAAUGAAUGGCAGCUGUCGUUUCUCUUGUUUUAUCCUCCUCCUCCCUGUUCAUCGCUGCGGACGAGAUUGCCGCGAAAUAAUAACAGAGGCUGCGUGCACCAGCACUCGUUUAUGGCGCCCCAUUAUGCCAAGAGGCGCGCCAAGGGGGCAUGGCAUUUUUUGUCAGUCGGUCGAAGGAUCAGAAAAGACCGCCUCCGUCUUCCGUUGCUCGCUUUUUUUUCUACUCUUCAACUCUGGUGUUUCUCGACCAGCGCCAUCAUUGUCUUGCAGUCGUCGUGACUCGCGGCGUAGAAGCAAUCCCGUCGCCAUUCGAAAGACACGCUGCAUCUCAAAUUGUCAGGAGGCCAGCAACCGACAGGAGUUCAACAUUGAUGUCGAGCAUGUAUCGUUUAUUGUCAAGUUCCUCUCCCGGUUAACGUUUCGAUAUAUUGAACGUAUUGACAUGCCACGCACUCUGGUGAGCGACUUUAUAAAUUGUAUCGAUACUUGAGCCAUGAGCGGAAGCGCUGCGGUCGACGUACGGUGAUGUGCGCAACAACUGGCGCUCUUCCUAUAUGCGUAUAUUACUUACAUAUUUAAUCAUAUACAUAUAGAUAUUUUCAAAGCAUCAAAUUGUCAAAAUGAUUUAUAUAUUGGAUAAAAGGUAUCUUGAAAGAAGAUAGAAGUAGGAAUGCCAGCAAUGGAUGUUUAAAUAGAUAAGUGAUUUAUCAAGGGUUUCUCAGCCAAGUACAACUCAACGAUUAAUAUAUCAUUCUAUAGGAUAUGUUACGGUUACGCGUGGUUGUACCAAUGGAUAAUAUAUGCAGCAUCUAUGAAUAUGAAAGUUACAGAGUUACUAAGAAAACAUACUAAGCUUCAAGUAGUUCUCCAGUUGUGUCUUUUAUAUGGAACUAUAUAAUUUGUGAAACUCUACGAAACUCUUCAGGCUGAAAUAGGCCAUUACAAAAAAUUAUGAAUAAUGAUAAUGAACUUAUUUUCUAACUCUCGUUUUGUAGUAAACAUUACAAUAUAAAUACGUACUGUUUGUAACUAUACAUCUAUUUAUAAUUUGUUACAUAUUUGUUAUAAAAGCCACUAGUUAUUUUGAAACAUUUUUAGAUGAAGAGACACGGACUAACCGUUCAAAGGACUACUAUCCUGAUCCUGCAAGGACGAUAUGUCACGUGGUUUUGCAAUAGAGGGAAUACUAUUACAUGCUUACCCCAAAAUCUGCUCGCCUAAUACAAAACUGGUCGUCUGCUUGAAUUUUCGAUUGACGAGUAUUCGACAGCCGAUCAAAAGCAACUAAUAUAUUCUUCAAAAAUAAUUAUAUGACAGAGAACGAUACUGGUAUACGUGACUCAGCUACGCAUGUCAAACGAAUCGAGCGAACCAGUUGCUUUUCCACAAUAUCCAGGCAACAGGCCGGAGGCCACAGGUUCCAGCAUCCACCUCUGGAUCAAUGCGGGCAUAUGGAGUAAACAAGCAUGACAUGACGUUGCGUGUCUUACUGCUCUCUUCCUUCAUACUCGAUACUAUGCGUCAAAAAAAUAUUGAGUUGCAAUAAUAUGUAUUGGUGAAUUGGAAACUAUUACUACCCUCGAUACUAUCCUGUUACGGUGACACGUCAUAGCCGUCAUGUCUCGACAAUUUGAUGUGAAAUCGAUAAAUUCCUUCAGGCCUGUCUUUUAUCCGUAAUUCUGUGAAAGAAUAUAUUAUAACAUUUAUCAGACAGGUGGAUAUAACCCAUGCGAUUGAAACAGUAAUAUUUAAAUAAUAAAGUGCAAAGAACGCAUAUCUUAGUAUGUAAUUUUUUAAAAUAAAUAUCUUGAUUAGCAUGUACAGAAGAAAUUAAAGAUUAAACAAAUAAUUUUUUAGAGUGGGAAAGUAUAUAACAUUAUACAGUACAACGAUAAGAAGAAAAGAAAUCUUGAGACGGAAUGGUUCACCCUAGCUUCGACAAACACGCUUGCGUGCUUAGUAUCGAUUUCACGUCAGUUUCAUGUCAUAAAGACGUCAAACACACGGUUUUCAUCAGGACAACAUCCUCGGCUUGAAUUUACGACCAGUGGCAAGCAACAGGUCCCGCGGGAACGAGUCCUCUCACAUGCAAAGAGAAUCCAAUUUCCCUCCACUUUUAUCAAACUAAGACUACAUCAACAAUUUCUUUUCAUACAAUGCACUUGUUUGUUAAUGAACCAACACUCUGUUCCAUAAUUAAACUCCUAGAAUUUAAACAACACCAAUGAAAAAUAGAAAUUAACAAAUACGCGAUAGAAUUGAUAUUUAAAAUAAAAUUUCAUUUUUAAAUGUGUAAAUAUAUUAUAAUUUUGUGUGUCCCUGUAAAUCUGUUCUAUUUUAAGCAACAAGGAACUUACAUGAAAUUACGGGAUUAAUAGAAACAAAGAACACACCCUUUAUGGGCAUUCGAAAUGAAACACGACCCGAGGCAACAACUUGUUGCUUUCGGUCGUAAAUCUACCCUCGGGCUGUAAUCCUGAUAAGCUCUUCUCAGAAUGACGUCAUUGACGAUCUUUUGAUGGACAACUGGCACCCGUUGACAUAUCUCCAGAACCUUUCGAUCGUACGAAUAUCCAAUACGCGAUUUCUUCCGAAGGAAAUGCCCUUAUUCUUCAAACGAACACAUCGAAGUCUACGCGAAUAAUAGGUGCUGCCCUUCGUCGGCAAGAAAGCCAUAAAUUCAUCUACUGCCCCUCUUUGCUACCCUAGUAACUGCGAGCUUUCGUGACGUCACGCAACGUUUCGUGACGAGCAGUUCGACAUAUCGACAUUCUAUCACCUGAAGGCUACUCCUCGGGAAGGAGAGAAGAAGACUGCGAACUGUGAAAAGCUUAGGGUUCAAAGUGCACAAGGAUCGAUACGUCGACGUUGACGUCAACGUGGCGGGCAAGCCAUAAAUCCCUCAAACGUCUGCUAGUACCCUGGUGCAAGCAAGCUAGUUGUGCCACCGUGACGAACAGAUGACUGACACUUGCCUCCCUCGUAACUCGUAACCCUUCUUCCUGACGAGCUUUAAGGAGCGUUCACAAUAGCAUACGGCGAUAUCAUAAAAUUUCUGCAAUUAAAGCAGAAAAUUAAUUGCGCUAUGAUUUGUUUAAUAAAUUCUGGCGAAGAUCAUUUAUGUGUAGAAUAAAUUGUUUAAAAAAAUAUAAAAAAUAUGAAUAUUAUAAAAAUUGUAAUUAAAGUACGUACGGAGAAUGAAUAACACGGUGUUAGAUAUGUACAACUUCGUAUAAAUUGAUAAGUAUGAUAUUCAACAUUUUGUUGUAAUAAAUCAGUCGAGACAAGAAAAACUUAGUUGGAUGACUUCUUAAUGUAAUUCAUUUCAUGAGAAGGAAACCGGAAGGUGUGCAAGAAAGAUGAAACAAGAAAUGACAUAAUGCGAUAUUUCACUUGACUAUCCAGGCUCUCGUAUGCGGCCCUGAUACGUUGGCGUCCUUACGACGUAACAUGAUGAACAGAUGACGCUAAAUCAAUACGUGUCGUCGGCAAAAGAUUGCUAAAGACCGUUUGACGAUUUCCUCAGCGGAGUUUUUCCCUUCCAACGGUAUCAACAACAGAACACUUCAUUCUCACUCAUGUAAAUAUUUCUAAUCUUAUAAAGAAACUACUUUUGUCAUCAUUUUAAUAUUUUACAAUCUCAUCUUUCACUAAUUAAUUCCCAAUUUUUUUUUUUUAUCAAAUAACAAACUAAUCAAGUUUCUCUAAAAAAAUUUGUCACUUAAAUAUUCAGCAUCUUUUACUCAAACAGUCAUGAACGUUUCUAGAAAUUGUAUGUGAAUGCGAAUAUUUAAAUAAAAUACAAUUUCCUACCCUUGUUUAAGAAAUAUUUGGUAGUAUGCAAACUGGUAUACAAAGGUCCGUGUCCAGCAUGCCACGCGAGCUUCCAGGAACAGGCUAACAUCUAGAAUGGAAAGAUUCGAGGAUCCUGAAACGCAUCGAAUUCCAAUUGCGCGUCAUCGUGAAGGUGAGCGACGUUAAGGGCGAAUCGGAAAAAUAGGAAAGUGGGCGGUAGCGAUCGAACGAGGCGGUAGCUCAAGUUCAAUUUUAAAUGAGUCAAUAACAUCAAAAGCUUCGUAUACCCGGAUCGCAUCAUCGUGUAGAGCUGCUGCUUGCUGUGGGUGGAACUAACACUGUGUAACGCUCAAGGGAUAGUCUGUUAUAUGACAUAAAGUCUAAGUAUAUGAUGCUCGAAGUUUAAACACCCUCCACUUAUUCUAACAUGAAAAUCUAUCAUAAAGAUCAAAAUCGCUCAAUAAAAAUUUCGACCGAGAGAAUAUAAUUUUUUAACUUUGAUAGUGUUUUAAUAGGGUGCUAGAGAAGCGUGAUGGAUCUUUUAAAAAUAUUAGUUUGUCUUAAUUCGAGUACUGUUCUGUGUCGUUAUACGAUCGUUCGUUCAGCACAGCGAUUGCGUCGACGCCUGGCGUAUUUCACCAAUCAGGGGUACACGUUGGACGUAGGGGUCGCUACCCACUUUUCGUUCAAUAGGGUGACUCGAAUGACGCAACAAAGCGCGCGUUUUAUUAGGAGAACAUCGGCAGCAAGAGGAUAUAGCUACCCCUAACAAGCACCUGCAACCAUUCACCCUCCGCACUCUACUCAGGAUCUUACGUGCUUCAGUAUCAGUUUCUCACAACCAAUGACCUUUCACUAACAUUUAGAUUUAUAGAUAUUAGGUAUAACCAGUAAAUUUAUUAAUUAAGUCAUCAAAAUUACUACAUUUAUAAAUAUCAAACGUAUCAUUUUCAUUACAAGCGACAAUAUAUCUAGUUGUCCGUCUUCUUCGCUCUAUUAAAUUUUCCUCAAAUUUCCAAUUAUCCUUUCCUUUUACUCGUCGACUUCUCGCCUCUCAUUAGACAUUCCAAUAACUGACCUAGUCAACAAGCUUAACCUUUGCGACAUCACGCGGCCUGACAUUCGUACCCGGGAAUUAUAGGAUCGCAGCUAGCUUCUGGACGCGUUGCACUGGUCCUGAACGGGGGUGGUGAUAUUGACACGCUUUUCGAACUGCACCACCUCCGUAGAACAGGAGUUCAUAUACGAGAGCACGUGUAUCAAAGGAGUAGUAGUAUCAUUGAUAAACUUUAAUCAAUUGUACUUAUGGCUGUCACAGCCAAAUUACACAUUUAUAAUACGUAAAUCGAUGAAAGUCAAAGUUAGAUAUUGCGAGCUUCAUGA